UUGAACGCUGGCGGCAUGCCUAACACAUGCAAGUCGAACGGAAGUAGCAAUACUUUAGUGGCGGACGGGUGAGUAAUACAUAGGAAUCUGCCUUUUAGUGGGGGAUAACUCAGCGAAAGCUGAGCUAAUACCGCAUAAGCACUACGGUGGAAAGCAGGGGAUCGCAAGACCUUGCGCUAAUAGAUGAGCCUAUGUCGGAUUAGCUAGUUGGUAGGGUAAAGGCCUACCAAGGCGACGAUCCGUAGCUGGUCUGAGAGGACGACCAGCCACACUGGGACUGAGACACGGCCCAGACUCCUACGGGAGGCAGCAGUGGGGAAUAUUGGACAAUGGGCGCAAGCCUGAUCCAGCAAUGCCGCGUGUGUGAAGAAGGCCUUCGGGUUGUAAAGCACUUUCAGCAGGGAGGAAAAGCUUCGGGUUAAUACUCGGAGUCUUGACGUUACUUGCAGAAGAAGCACCGGCUAAC
rnacentral:rRNA from 1 species